rnacentral:rRNA from 1 species
UAAGGGUUCCUGGGUCAAGCUGAUCUGCCCAGGGUAAGUCGGGACCUAAGGCGAGGCCGACAGGCGUAGUCAAUGGACAACCGGUUGAUAUUCCGGUACCCGCUUUGAAACGCCCAAUAUCGAAUCAAACGAUGCUAAGCCCGUGAAGCCGUUCCGGACCCUUCGGGGAAAGGAAAGUGGUGGAGCCGGUGACCCGGAUCUGUAUUAGGUAAGCGAUGGGGUGACGCAGGAAGGUAGUCCAGCCCGGGCGGUGGUAGUCCCGGGGUAAGGGUGUAGGCCGUGUUGUAGGCAAAUCCGUCACACAUUAAGGCUGAGACCUGAUGCCGAGCCGAUUGUGGUGAAGUGGAUGAUCCUAUGCUGUCGAGAAAAGCCUCUAGCGAGUUUCAUGGCGGCCCGUACCCUAAACCGACUCAGGUGGUCAGGUAGAGAAUACCGAGGCGUUCGGGUGAACUAUGGUUAAGGAACUCGGCAAAAUGCCCCCGUAACUUCGGGAGAAGGGGGGCCAUGUCUGGUGAGGGAAGUUACCUUCUGAGCUGGGUGUGGCCGCAGAGACCAGCGAGAAGCGACUGUUUACUAAAAACACAGGUCCGUGCGAAGCCGUAAGGCGAUGUAUACGGACUGACGCCUGCCCGGUGCUGGAACGUUAAGGGGACCGGUUAGC